rnacentral:rRNA from 1 species
GACGUAGGUGGCAAGCGUUGUUCGGAAUCACUGGGCAUAAAGCGCACGUAGGCGGCCAAGUAAGUCAGGUGUGAAAUACCUCGGCUCAACCGAGGAACUGCGCCUGAUACUGCUUGGCUUGAGGUCCGGAGGGGAGAGUGGAAUUCCCGGUGGAGCGGUGAAAUGCGUAGAGAUCGGGAAGAACGCCGGCGGCGAAAGCGACUCUCUGGUCGGAAUCUGACGCUGAGGUGCGAAAGCUAUGGGAGCAAACGGG